GUAGAAAACACUCUCAUCUCUUUAUAUUAAAAAAAAACGUUAAUUUUUUAUGUUUUAGGUCUGUCUGACUGUUUGGUAAAUUAGAAACUUAACCAAUUAUAAAAUUUGUUGAACUAACGUUCAAUACUUUAAAUGUUUUACUAUAUUGACUGUUUGGUAAAUUAGCCCAUAUUAUUUUAUAAAGAAAAUUUUAAGACUUUGAAUGUUAAUUCAGUCUCUCUAUCUCUCCAACCUCCAUUCUCCCACCUACACAUUUAUUUGAAACACAAACACAACUUUGACGAUGAGAAAAAGAAAUUGGAUUAGAACUAUUUUUGAUAAUUUCAUGGUCUCGAUGUCUCAAAAGAUGAGAAAAAGACAUAUAUAUAUGUAAUUUAUAAAAAAAACUUAUACAUACAGUCAUGAAAAGCGAAGAGGGAGAACAUGACUAUGCAGCUCA
rnacentral:lncRNA from 1 species